rnacentral:misc_RNA from 1 species
GUGAAUCAUCAAAUUGUUGAACGCAAAGUGCACUCUCUGGUAUUCCGGAGAGUAUGCCUGGUUGAGGAUCAGUGUGAAUAAAAGUCGGUGUGGUUGCUGCCUUUCGUGGUGACGCACGGGAGUUGGGUCGGCUUGCCUGCGGUUAAGUGACCUAAAAUUUUGCAUGAUUUUUUUCGAACGUAUUUAAAUGAAUUUAAGUACGUUUGCGAUAUCGAAUACUAGGUGUGGUCAGCCGCGUGAUUCGCGCCUA